AUCAAUGUUCCGGAUAGAUUAGCACUUUCUAUGUAUGCUCGAUGGAGAGGGUGGCAGAUCUCAUAUGCCACUUGUGUGAGACACUAAUACAAGGAAGUGGAUGCUCAUUAGAGAAUGAGUUCACUGAAUUGAUCCAACUUAAGAAACAUCUUAUGGAAUUUACUUACCUGUCAAGAGAUAUUUUCUUAUAGUGGGAGUUGUGCAUGUAAUCCUUUGACCUGAGACUACCAUAGAACCUUGUAUACAUGAAUCUAUAUUUUUUGGUUCAUACUCAUUCAUGACUUAGUCAUGUACGGGGUGUUCUAGAUAUGGUAGAAUGUGUAUGGAGGUUGUGAGUAGGUCAACAUGAAAUCGAUAACUCCUGGUAAGAGAAAAUUGCAUCCUAGUUGUUCUGAU
rnacentral:lncRNA from 1 species